rnacentral:rRNA from 1 species
UACGUAGGGUGCAAGCGUUGUCCGGAAUUAUUGGGCGUAAAGAGCUCGUAGGCGGCUUGUCGCGUCGACUGUGAAAUCUCGGGGCUUAACCUGGGAACUGCAUUCGAGACUGCAUUGCUAGAGUAUGGAGAGGGAAGUGGAAUUUCCGGUGUAGCGGUGAAUGCGUAGAUAUCGGAAGGAACAUCAGUGGCGAAAGCGGCUUCCUGGACCAGCACCGACGUUCAGGCACGAAAGCGUGGGGAGCAAACAGG